GUAAGCCGUAUGCCUUAGUAGGGCACGUACGGUUUGAUGAGGGGGAAGCCAGGAAACUGGUUUCCCUACUCUAU
rfam:Desulfotomaculum nigrificans CO-1-SRB chromosome, complete genome.